rnacentral:rRNA from 1 species
AGUGAACGCUGGCGGCGUGCCUAAUACAUGCAAGUCGAACGGAGUGGCGCACGGGUGAGUAAUAUAUAGCUAAUCUGCCCCUUGCUGGAGGCCAACAGUUAGAAAUGACUGCUAAUACUCCAUAGCAAGGUAUGAGACUAUAUCGUAUCAGCUAGUCGGUGGGGUAACGGCCUACCGAGGCUAUGACGCGUAACUGGUCUGAGAGGAUGAUCAGGACCAGUGGAACUGGGAUACGGCCCAGACUCCUACGGGAGGCAGCAGUAGGGAAUAGGGCGCAAUGGGGGAAACCCUGAGGCAGCAACGCGGCGUGGAGGAUGAAACUUUUCGGAGCGUAAACUCCUUUUGUUAGGGAAGCGGUACCUAACGAAUAAGCACCGGCUAACUCCGUGCCAGCAGCCGCGGUAAUUC